GGAGAGAUGGCCGAGUGGCUUAAGGCAACGGUUUGCUAAACCGUCGUAGUGUUUUUGACACUACCGAGGGUUCAAAUCCCUCUCUCUCCU
rnacentral:tRNA from 2 species